CCGACAUGGCCUCGCCCCCGUCUCGGUCCUCGCCGCCACCAGCGCGUCUCUGGUAGGAGACCUGGGGAGUCCCGGGAAGACUUCAUCGGGCCAAGCCGGUUCCUGGCAGCUUGACCCCUAACUCCCAGGUGACCCCGAAGUGCCCGGUGAUCACAAGAGCAGCGCCCUCAAACUCCGAAGGCCUUCAAAAUGCUCGCUUAACUCAUCCUUUGCCUUUCUUUGGGGGAACGAGGGGCAAAAAGAAUGGCCGGCCCCGCCCCGCUCUCCAGCCCGGCGACUGCUGCCCGCGGAACCCGUGCCUGC